rnacentral:lncRNA from 1 species
AAAGGUAUACGCUUGGUGAACGCUUUUACUCCAGGAAAUUUUUAUGGAGCAUAAAAAAAUUCAUUCAGCUCAAGCGUGUGUCAAGCGUAUACCUGUACGCUACACACACACAAUAUACACGCUACAAGGGUGUUGAAAACGCUACAGAUAAGUUUGAGACACGUUAAGGGCACGUUGUAUACGCUUCAAAAUCGUUUGAUUAUAACUAAAACAA